rnacentral:rRNA from 1 species
AAUAUUGGACAAUGGGGGGAACCCUGAUCCGGCCAUGCCGCGUGGCUGAAGAGGGGCUGGGGCUUUGAAGGCACUAUAAGUUGGGAGUAAGGGUUUUAGUUUAAUACCGUGAGGUGUUGACGUUACCAACAGAAUAAGCACCGGCUAACUCUGUGCCAGCAGCCGCGGUAAUACAGAGGGUGCAAGCGUUAAUCGGAAUUACUGGGCGUAAAGCGCGCGUAGGUGGUUCAGUAAGAUGGGUGUGAAAUCCCCGGGCUUAACCUGGGAACUGCUUUCAUAACUGCUGAGCUAGAGUACGGUAGAGGGUAGUGGAAUUUCCUGUGUAGCGGUGAAAUGCGUAGAUAUAGGAAGGAACACCAGUGGCGAAGGCGACUACCUGGACUGAUACUGACACUGAGGUGCGAAAGCGUGGGGAGCAAAC